AAGUCUCCCCAGCUCAUUAUCAAUAAAGAGGACUGUACUGGGCAUGAGGAGCGUGGCUCAGGUCAGGGGUCACCGUGUGGGUCAGAGCAGGUCUCCAGUCCUAAGUCUCCCCUCAGCAGCAGCAGCACAGCCCUCUCUAAGAACGAGUCCAACCAGAGCCGUAGGGUGACCCACAUCACUGCUGAACAGAAGAGGCGCUUUAACAUCAACAUUGGCUUCAAAACACUGAGCAGCCUGGUUCCCACUCUCAAGUCCCAGUCCAAUG